AUACAGAGGGUGCGAGCGUUAAUCGGAAUUACUGGGCGCAAAGCGCGCGUAGGCGGCUUAUUAAGUCAGAUGUGAAAUCCCCGGGCUCAACCUGGGAACUGCAUCUGAUACUGGUAAGCUAGAGUUUUGGAGAGGGAAGUAGAAUUUCAGGUGUAGCGGUGAAAUGCAUAGAGAUCUGAAGGAAUACCAGUGGCGAAGGCGACUUCCUGGCCAAAAACUGACGCUGAGGUGCGAAAGCGUGGGUAGCAAACGGGAUUAGAAACCCCAGUAGUCC
rnacentral:rRNA from 1 species